rnacentral:lncRNA from 1 species
GGAGAAACAAAUAUGGCGCGGUGGAGUUCGAAAUCGAGAGUAGGCCUAUUGUUGAUGAGGCAAGCAGUCAAAGCAGUCCAGAACUAGAGGGUAAAGAGCUCCCUGAGCAUACUAUGUUGUGAUGUCAGCCUCAUUAGAAAAAAGCCCUGUAUAAAGGUUUAGUAGAGUUGGCAGUGUUACAUAUAGCACUUCUAGGUCCAGUGGUACAAGGCUUGGAAGAGGUGUGAGAUCAAUAGGAUUGACCCAAGGACAUGAAAGGAGAAUUCAGUAACUCACAGAAGAGAGCAUACAUUAUGGUGUUGCCAAGAAAAGUGCUGAAUGCAUUGUGACCAGUGUGACGAAAAUCCUGGCCUUGCACUGGAAAUAAAGAUGCUUUUGCUGGAGAAUUUACUGGGACUGGCCCAUCUCCUGCUCACUGUUAUGGCCCCUACAUUUUGACUGCUGUUGAAUUUGCUGGAUUACUUCUCUGAAGAAAAUCACAGAAUAACUAUUACCACGAGUAUCAGUUUACUGACCAAACCUUCAUAAAACCUGUAAUAUGCAAGUCACUAAGUAGAAGGAUUCUUUUCAUUCUACUGUAAUUUGUGCAACAAUUUAGUAAACAUAAAAAAUAAAGGCAUGGAAAAAUAAGGUGCUUUCAUUUAUCUGUUCCUCAUACCAAAAGUAAAAUGCAACUCUGUACAUAAUCUGUUCAUAAAAUCAAUCAUUUUCAAA